rnacentral:rRNA from 1 species
UACGUAGGGUGCGAGCGUUGCCCGGAUUUAUUGGGCGUAAAGGGCGCGCAGGCGGCUACGCACGUCCGUUGUGAAAUCGCUCGGCUCAACUGGGCGGGGUCAGCGGAUACGGCGUAGCUGGAGCAAGCUAGGGGGCAAUGGAAUUCCUGGUGUAGCGGUGAAAUGCGCAGAUAUCAGGAGGAACACCGGUGGCGAAGGCGGGUCUCUGGGCAACAACUGACGCUGAGGAGCGAAAGCGUGGGGAGCGAACAGG